GUGCCAGCAGCCGCGGUAAUACGUAGGUGGCAAGCGUUGUCCGGAUUUAUUGGGCGUAAAGCGAGCGCAGGCGGUUCCUUAAGUCUGAUGUGAAAGCCCACGGCUCAACCGUGGAAGGUCAUUGGAAACUGGGGAACUUGAGUGCAGAAGAGGAGAGUGGAAUUCCAUGUGUAGCGGUGAAAUGCGUAGAUAUAUGGAGGAACACCAGUGGCGAAGGCGACUCUCUGGUCUGUAACUGACGCUGAGGCUCGAAAGCGUGGGGAGCAAACAGGAUUAGAUACCCUGGUAGUCC
rnacentral:rRNA from 1 species